rnacentral:rRNA from 1 species
CCCUUAGAUGUUCUGGGCUGCACGCGUGCUACAAUGGCGCUUGCAACAAGUCUUGCCAACCCGAUAGGGUGAGCGGAUCUUUGAAGAGGCGUCGUGAUCGGGACAGUUGAUUGCAAUUAUUCGACUCGAACGAGGAAUUCCUUGUAAUCGCGAUUCAUCAUAUCGCGCUGAAUACGUCCCUGCCCUUUGUACACACCGCCCGUCGCUCCUACCGAUUGAGCGAUCCGGUGAAUGUUUUGGACUGGCGUCAGAAGCGGUUCGCUCCUGACACUACGAAAUUUUGUAAACCUUAUCGCCUAGAGGAAGGAAAAGUCGUAACA